UCUGCAUUCACCGUGAACGCAACAGUUGCAAAAUCGCUAAACAUGAGACGACAAUUGCGCUCUGAUGCUGUUCCAACCAUAGACUCUGUAAAAGGCAUUUCAAUCCAAGGUGAUAAGAGCAAUCGCGACCGCAGAGUUGUAAGUACAAAAUUAUACAAGUUAAAUUACACAAGUUUGUAUGCACAACCUGGAAAUGCAUGUAAAUGUGUCUUGUUAUCUUCAAAGAUGACCCACUUUUCUUGGCUUGGUACAUAUUGCAGGCACGUACUGGCAGUACUUCAUUUCAAUGAAAACCUUCACAGACAGCCAAAAAAAAACAAAAAAUGGAACACCAUAUUAUUCUGUGACAUACCCAAAAUUUAAAUCAGGGGAUGAAGUAGUAAGAACUGUUUCUUCAGCACCAUCAUAUUACUAUGUUAAUGAAAUCAACUCCAAUUAAACCAGCCCCA